UGCACUGUCUUGGGUAACUCAUCU
rnacentral:siRNA from 1 species